GACGAACGCUGGCGGCGUGCUUAACACAUGCAAGUCGAGCGGUAAGGCCCUUUCGGGGGUACACGAGCGGCGAACGGGUGAGUAACACGUGGGUGACCUGCCCUCAGCUCUGGGAUAAGCCUGGGAAACCGGGUCUAAUACUGGAUAUGACUCCAUGACGCAUGUUGUGGGGUGGAAAGCCUUGUGCGGCUGAGGAUGGGCCCGCGGCCUAUCAGCUUGUUGGUGGGGGGAU
rnacentral:rRNA from 1 species